ACAGAAUACAAAGCAUUGCAAGCUCAAUGACUGAAGAUUUCAAACCACAGCACACAUCGCGGGACUGACACAACUGAAAGGUGAGAUUAGUUGAAGUCACUUCACAUCAAAGCACUUCAUCAGGAUAUCCUCGGCUGUGCCUGCCUGGCUAUAAUUACAUCUGAAUGAACAACAGGAGACUACUUUGUGAACUCUAAAGGCCAAUUUCAUGUAUUGAAUAUUGCUUUUCUAUUUAUGUGAAAAAUUCUUAAGGUGAUGAAAGCAUUAAACAUAUUUAAUGGUCUCAUGAAGAAAGCAGGGACAUUAAGUAAUUGCCAGUAAGUGUUGGCAUUAAUCCAGAUUUGUGGGGCAUGAAGAAUAGUUCCUACAGAUUAUGAGAAUAUUCUUAUGAUUUAUGUAAUUUGUGAUUAAUUCCUCAAAAAAAAGGCCUUUCUCAACAAGUUAACCAGGACAAUGAACUCCAGAUUAAGUUUACUGAGUUCACGAAUUACUGUUGCAGCCAGGUCAUAACGAAUGAACUGAAUCAUUCUUUUGGUCUUAUAAAUGAUUUUCUGAUUUUACUGAUGACCUUUGCUCUAACUUUGAACUGCUGUGCGAAACUAACAUACCAAUGAAAUAACAUACUGUCCUUACAAUUAUUUCCUCAAAAUAAAAAUCCGUUUGAAAAUG